GGCUCAUGGGCCUCCGUCCGGAGGAGAGUGAGAUCACAGGGUGCUCUCAGCCUUCCAAUGGCCUGUGCCCUGUUGAGCCAUGUCUGUGUCCAGAAUGAAAGCAGGAGAACAACAGCCUGGAAUGCUAUGGGCACAUUUCUAUAGGUGAGACCAGGAAUCAAAAAAUUCUCUUUCGGGAAUCUGGAUACAUCAUGCGAAAAAGAGGUCCACACGGCACCCUACCAACGUGUUAAUUUACCAAGAAAAACAAUGGGCCUUACUGUGAAGGCCUCCGGACUCUGGUUGUUUGAUUUAUUUGUCUUUGGAACUUUCAACCAAAUGUCUUAAAAUAGACAUGAACUGGAGAGUUUUGCCUCAGACAUGGAAAAGACUCACUUGUUCUCACAUUUCCAUCUUACGAAACGACGCUUUUUAAUCUGCUGCACUGCCUGGCGCUAUGUCCCCUGCAUAAAGGGGGUUGGAAAGAGCCCCCACUUGUGAGAACACAGGCCGGUCUCUUCUGAGGGUUCAGCAACAGGAGCCCUCCAGGCAGCACACAGCUCCUGGUGCUUGGAACACACGAGUGAGGGAAUGAAGCCCGCUGGCCUCGUGGUGCUGACGUCCUACGGGGGAGGAAAUAAUAAACAUGUUAGUAAAUGAAUGGAGGGUAAAUCAGUUCUCAUAAGCCGCAAGGUGAUAUGUGCUCUGGAAAAAUAGUCAAGUGAGGAGGAGGAGUCAAAGCACAGCUGCUGGUGGCCUGCAUGACAAGGUAAAGGACAAAACCCUGAAGGGGAGAGGGAAGCCCCUGCAGCUUCCCCUGGAGAAGAGGAUUUUGCACAAAGGUUCUGACACAGGCCCUCAAGGGGGGAGAGAGGGUGGGCCCGUGGCCGGCCACAGGUGAGAGGGGAUGGGCACGGAGUCACUAUGUGGAAGGAUGGGAGUUUGCUCUGAGAAAUGAAUGGCCACUGGGAGGUUUGGGAGCUUGAAGACCCACCAGGCCAUGACCAGGGUCACUGCUGCCCCAGUCCCCGUGUGGGCUCUCAGAUGCCCCUGUCCACCCGUUGCUGGAAUUCUGCUCUCUGGAGUCAGGGGGGGCCCGGACUGGCAGCCUCAUUAAGCCACCCAGAGAGAAGCUGAGGGCCGUUUCCCCGGGGCUGAGCUUGCUCCAUCCCCACCUGUGAUGGCCAUGUGCAGGGGGCUUAUGGGGAUGGGGACCACGCCACUUGGUCACUUGUCUAGAGACGCACCGUGUGGUCCUUGCCUCCCUCUGAGCCUUGGCAAGGGCUGGGGGUGGGGGUAGCCAGACGUGGGCAAUGUCCAGGCUCCACAUUAUGUUCCCAAAACAUAAAUUAAGCUUCCCAUGAAAGGAAGAAAUACCUUUUGCUUCAUAUUGCUUUAUGCUUAAAAAAGUAAAAUAAAAUCAGGUCUUUUAUCUCCAGUGUGACUAGAGAUGAAAUACCACUAGCUUCAAAUUUCGAGAUCAUUCCGCUUCCAGCCAGCGUCCCCCCAGGAACAAAGACGUGGCAGGCGCACACUGCUGUGAGUGCAUUUUCUUCCUUUGUGGUAAACACGCUCCUCUGGGCUGCCUCUGAUCGCUGGGACGCAGCGUGUGCCGGUCACUGCUGACCCGAGAGGUCUGGCUUUUAGCUUCCUCGAUCGGCCAGUGAGGUUAACAAGUUAAUAAAAUCCUAUUUAUCAGACUCCUGAGUCCAUUUCCUCUUCCCUGUGGCUCAUGGUUAUAAUUAUUCUUUAUGGACUCUCGGCGCUCCUUUAGAUCUGGUUUCCCUGAAACCCUCCUGUUUCCUGAGAGUC